AUUGAACGCUGGCGGCAGGCCUAACACAUGCAAGUCGAACGAGUGGCGGACGGGUGAGUAAUGUCUGCGAAACUGCCCGAUGGAGGGGGAUAACUACUGGAAACGGUAGCUACUACCGCAUACCAUCGGAUGUGCCCCGAUGGGAUUAGCUAGUAGGUGGGGUAACGGCUCACCUAGGCGACGAUCCCUCGAUGGUCUGGUAGGAUGAACCGCAACUGUGGAACGGAGACACGGUCCAAACGCCUACGGGAGGCAGCAGUGGUGAAUAUUGCACAAUGGGCUCAAGCCUGAUGCAGCCAUGCCGCGUGUAUGAAGAGGGCCUUCGGGUUGUAAAGUACUUUCAGCGAGGAGGCGUUACUCGCAGAAGAAGCACCGGCUAACUCCGUGCCAGCAGCCGCGGUAAUUC
rnacentral:rRNA from 1 species